rnacentral:tRNA from 1 species
UUAAUAGAAGCCAUUAGGCGCUUCAUUGUUAAUGAAGAAUUUACAAUUAAUUUGUCUAUUAAA